AUGAUACGGAGGUUUACUCUAUGAUUAGCAAAUACACUUCUUAUUUCAAUAAUAGAAUAUUGGAACUUAGAUGUUCAUUUCCAUCUACUCUGUCCUGUCAUUAUUGAUGAAGGCCUCAAAUUACACCAGUUCUGACCUGGAACUAAUCUAUUUAGCAGAAUAUUAAAAGAGAAAAGAAGAGAAUUAUAUAUGAUUUUCCCAGCCAUGAUGUUAAUUGCCUUAAAAGGAAGUUAUGUACCCAGUGAAGAAUGGGGCCAUCCAAGUGGCCUGAAGCUAAGGAAUUCAGGUACAUUUUUCCCUUUUUUUAGGGGAUAGGGGAGGAUGGGGGGAGAACAUAGAAAACUAAUUUUUUUUUUUAGUUUAAAAAGGAGCUUUAUCAAGAUUUACUAAAGCUGGUUUAAACCUGAGUUUGUGAUUUAUAGUCUCCUUCCAGGAAGCCUUGGUGCCUUUUUAUAGGACACUUAUCCUAGAUCUAUCCAACUUAUGAGAAAUGCCUUUGGUUUGAGUGUCUGGUAUGUCUGAUCUUCCAUUAAGCACAUUUAAAUAAAACAGUGCAUUCCACAGUGUCAGAUAUAUUAGUUAUAUAUUUGACGUGGUAAAUAUUUAAGAGGUUCCAUUUAUUAUCAUGAAAAAAAUAUCAAAACACAUGAUAGUCAUUUAGUCUUUAUUUUGGCUCCCAAAAAUAUUCACUAAACAGAUACUGGUUUUUUUCCUAUGUGUUUUACCAGGUACAGAUACUCAAAAAAAUCUACUGAACAAAAUAUAAAAGAAAGCAUAAAAUAUAGUUUCUGUCCUAAAAGCCUAACAGAUAAUAGUUGUUUGAAAUUCACAAAAGACAUUGUUUUCUACUUUAUUAUUUUAAAUUUGUUAUUGUAUUAUUUAAACUUCACAUAUCCAUUUUCUUAUUGUGGUUACAAUCUAAAAUUGCAAUUAACCUUGAAAUAACCUUCACUUUCCUUUUUCAUUACAUUCCCCUUAAGAACUUCAAUAAAUCAUUUUACUGAAGACCAUAGUCUUUAAGUACAUUUUCCUAAGCUAAUUAUUCAGGAAGAUAAUAGUAGUGUUUAAGGAAGCACAGUUGUCCAAACUAUCUCUAUAUAGUCACCUGAGGUUCUUGGUAAGCCCUCUUUCUCACUCUCUACUUCAGGUAAGUGCCAAUUUUUAGGAGGUCCAACUAUUUUUUAGCAAUGAAAUGAAUCAUGUUUUUCAUUGCUUUAUGAAUUGCACUACAUGAAAAAGCAUAUUUUAAAACGUGGACAUCUGGGGUUUCACAUUUGUUAGUGGCAGAGUAGUUGGUAUGAAACUAAACCUCUUGUGGAAAACAAUUAUGUACUAAGAAAAAAAUAUAAACAAAUUCUCUUUGAAGGAACUGGAGAGUGACCAAAAGUAGGCAAAAACUGGAAAGAAAUCAACCCUUGAAAGAAGAAACUAUAUAUGGUUUUCAAUUCAGUCCCUGUGGUACAAAGAAUCCAGAACUCCAGCAGAAAAACGCAAUACUAACCAACCAAUAUCAAUCAAUAUGGAAAAUGAAAGAAGGAAAUUAAUAAAGAUUUUAAAGAACACAAAAAGAAAAUGGGAAAAUACUAUAAUCAACUUUAUGCCAGUAGAUUUGACAACUAGGUAACAUGGAAAAUUUACUCAGAAAAUGCAACUGAUUAAAAUGAAACAAAACAUCUAAAUAACCAUCCAUCAAUUACACAACUCAUUCAAAAAACAGAAAAAGGAAAUACUUCUCAGCUCACUUUAUAAGACCAGUCAAAUACUAUCAUCUGACUUUGUCAGCAUAACUCGGAUACAGAUAUUAUGAAAAAAGAACAUUAGAGACCAAUGUUCUUAAUAAAUUUAGACACAAUUAUUCUUAUCAAAAUAUUAGCCAAUUUGUAUAAUAGUAUAUAAAAAAGAUGUUACAUCAUGGUCAAAUAGGGUUACUCCUAGAAACAAAGGUUAGUGAACUGAAAACCCUGUGGUGUAAUUCAAUGUAAAAGCAUUAAAAAAAAAACAGAAUAAUUACAAUAGAUAAAAACUUUUGAUAAAAACUUUUGACAAAGUAGGAAUAGAAAGGAACUUCCUCAACCUGAAAAAGAGCAAAUGUGAAACCUCAGCCAAUAUCACACUUAGAGGAAACUCUUAAGAUUGGAAACAAGGCAAGCUGCCUGUUACCUCUCAAUUCUUAUUCUCCUGGCAGUCCCAUCUAGUUUGAUAAGACAAGAAACAGAAAUAAGACAUAAGUAGAAGAAAGGAGGAACUAAUUCCUAUUUGCAGAUAACAUAAUUGUUUAUACAGAAAAUCUUAGGGAUCUACCAGCAAGUUAAUAGAAUUAAUAUGUGAAUUUAACAAGAUUUCAGGAUAUAAGGCCAGUAGUAAAAAAUUUUGGAAAUCAAAUUAAAAGAUCACUCCAUUAGCAGCUUAAGUGUCCAUCAAUGGAUGAAUGGAUAAAGAAAAUGUGGUAUAUAUACACAAAAUGGAGUUUUAUUCAACCAUAAAGAAAAAAAAAGUAUGUGAUUUGCAGGUAAAUGGGUGGAAUUAGAGACCAUUAUGUUAAGUCAAACCCGGGAACUCAAGAAUCAUAUGCUUUCUCUCAUGUGGAAGCUGGAGAGGGAAAAUGAAAAGAAAGUACAGAUAGGGAUCUCAAGAAAAUCAAAGGGAGAUCAGUAGAGGAAAGGGCCAGAGGAAGGAGGCAGGGAGAGAGGAAGGAAAUGAUAUUGGCCAAAUUAUAUUGUUAUAUUGUGUAAAUGUAUGAAUAUGUAGCAAUGUAUCCCAUCAUUAUAUUCAACUAUAAUGCACAAAUAAAAAAUGUGAGAAAAAAAGAUGAUUCUCAAAUUAUAGACUUCUAGGACUACAGGCUUAAAGAUCAUCUAAUUUAGUCUCUUAGGUUUGGCUUAUACAUGAAUAAAUGGAGGACUGGCAAGAUUUUUUUUUAAAAAAAAAAGACCAUUCAUGAACAAUAGCAUUAAAACAUAGCGUAAGCUUGGCUUACUGCAAGAGUACACACCUGCAGUCCCAGCUACUUGGGAGGCUGAAGCAGGAGGAUCACUUGAGCCCAGGAGUUCAAGGACAGCCUGGGUAACUAUAGAGAGCCAUCCGUGGGCCAAUAUGAACUACAUAAGCAUCACAGCCCACUGAAUAGGAGAAUCUGGUGUCUGGGAACUUCCAGUGGACAUUUCCUCUGGCUGACUGCCCAGACACAUUGUGAGUCCUAUUCAAGCUCUGCCUCAGGUCCCACACAGCACCAAAAAGGGGUGACUUGCUGCAGCCACACAGCCUCUCAGAGAUAGGUGUGACCUGCCAAGAUGCCAAUCAACCUGCUGACUGCAAGACAUCAUGAAGCAAGACUCCACCACAUUAUGCCUACCUUUAAUGUACCCCCUUAAAUAAACCACGGGAGCCAUUUUUUUAAAUGUCCAGCUCCAGCUCCUGUGUGGACUGGGUCUAUCAUGCACUCUACUUUACAACUGUAAUUCUGACUCUGUGUCUUUUGUUCUUCACUAAUUAUUUCUGACUUAUUUUCUCUGGUGGCUUAUACCCUCCUGGGCAGGAAGAAGGACCCCCAGACCCCAUUUAAAAUAAAUUUUUAAAAAUGCUUAGGAACAAACAAAACAAUAGAUUUGUAAAACCUCCAUGUUAAAAACUACAAAUACUGACUGAUAAAAGCAGUUAUAUAACACCUACAUAAACAGGAGAUAUACCAUUUUCAUGUUUUGGAAGUCUCGAUGUUGGUAAAAUGUCCAUUUUUUUCCCCAUUGAUCCAGAGAUUUAUUGCAAUCCUAAUCAUAAUCUCAGCAGGCAUUUUUAUAAAAGUGACAAUCUGAUUCUAAAAUUUAGGCAGAAAUGAAAGAGCCUAGGAUAGCCAAAACAAUGAUGGAAUAAAAGGAUGAAGCUUGAAGAUUUAUAUUAUUUAGCUUUAAAACUUAAUGUAAAUUACAGUUAUCAAGAUGUGUGAUAUUGGCAAUAGACAGACCGAUCAAGUGGAAUAGAAUAAAAAGAAGAAAUAGAUCAAUACCUAUGUAGUUAUUUCAUUUCAGACAAAGGUGCUGAAGUACUUCAGUGAGGAAAAGAAAAUCAUCAAUAAGUUAUGCAGGAAAACUGGAUAACUAUGCGGCAACAAAAUAAUCUCUGCCUCCUUAAUUCAAGGUAAAUCAUGGACCUAACUGCAAAAGUCCAAAAUUUAUUUUUUGGAAAUCAAGUAUAUUGUCAAAACCAGAGGGUAAGCAACAAUUUCUUAGAUAAACAAAGACAUUACCACAGAAGUAUUUUUAAAAAGAUACAUUUUAUCAAAAUUUAAAUCCUGUCAUUAAAAGAUACUUUUUAAAAAUGAAUAGGAAGCCACAACUUGGACAAAAUAAUUGUAAAACAUAUAUCUAGUAAAAGUCCCAUAUCCAGAAUAUAUGAAUUAGUGCUACAAUUCAUUAAUAAAGGCACCAAACCAAGAAAAAAAAAGAGAUACAAAACUUUAACAGACACAGGAUGAAGGAAACAUGUUUAAGGAAGUCCUCAAUAUUAUUAGUCAUUAAGGAAAUGCAAAUUAAAACUGCAAUGAGACUACUACAUACCAACUACAAUGGCUAAAUUUAAAAAUAUUGACAAUUAGCAAAUACUGGCUAAGAGAUGAAGCAAGUAAAAGUCUAAUACCUCACCGAUGGGAUACAAAGUGGAUUAUUCCCAGGAAAGAUUUGAUAAUUGCUUCUUUUUUUUUUUUUUUGGUGUGUGUGUAUGGGGUUGGAGAAUUAAUCCAGAGGCGCUCUAUCAGUGAGCUAAACCCCAAGCUCUUUUAAAAUUUUUAUUUAUUUAUUUAUUUAUUUAUUUUGAGACAAGGUGUCAUUAAGUAGCUGAGGUUGGCCUCAAACUUGCAAUCCUCCUGCCUGAAUCUUCCAGGUUGCGGAGAUCACAGGCAUGCCCCACUGCACCCAGCCUGACUUGGUAAUUUCUUAUAAAGUUAAACAUACACCUGUACCUUAUGACCUAGAAAUUCUACUUCUAAAUAUUUACCAAAGAGUAAUAAAAUGUAUGUUCAGAAAAAGUCAUGACUAAGAACAUUCAUAGCUACCCAAAACUGAAAAUGACCCAAAGGUUCAUUAAUAGGUGAAUGGAUCGACAAAUUAUGGUAUCCUCAAACAAUAAAAACUAUCCACAAGAAAAGAACUACUGAUACACCCCAAAGCAUGGAUAAAUCUCACAGACAUUAUGCUGAAUAAAAGAAGUUAGGCACAAAGAAUACAUUCCACAAUUCCAUUUAUAUCAAUUUCUUAAAUAAGUUUUUUUAAAUAAAGCUAUGCUGACAAUUUAUGGCAGAAAAAUGAAUCUAAGAUGAAACAAAAACAAAGUCAGAAGAGCAUUUGCUUCUGGCAAGGUUGAUAAUUAGGAAGAGGCAAAGGAAACUAAAGGUUGAAAAAUAUGUACUAAAUGUUAUUAGAGGCAUGGGUCAUAUGGGAGUACAUGUUUGUCAAAAUUCAUCUGUGGUAGUUCAUUUUUCUUUGCUUUAAUGACAUGCCAGAGGUAGGACUCUUUAUAAAGAAAAGAGGUUUAUUUUGGUUCUUUGUUACAAAGGUGCAAGGUGGAAGGGGCAUAUCUGGAGAUAUUGUUCUUACUGGCAGAGUCCCAAGGAGACAGGAAGUGCACAUGUGUAUUAUGUCCAUCUGGUCUCUCUCCCUCUUCUUAUAACACCACCAGGAUUUAAUAAGGGGUCUACUCUUAAGAUUUUAACCAAUCCUAAUUAUCUCCCCACCAGUGCACACGGUAGCCAGAUUAAGUCUCCACCCUCCCCAUACUUCACGGUGGGGAUCAUAUUUCAACACUUGGCAUCUUGGAGAAAUGCUCAAACCACAUCCAAGCCAUACAUAGCACCAUCAACUUGUGUACUUCAGAUUCAUGCAUUUUAUAGUAUUUAAAUUUUAUUCAAAAGAUAAAGAAGCUGAGCUUCUGAGUGUUUUUAAUAUUCUUAAUAUUUUUCAUAUCCUUUUAUCUUUUUAUCUCACUGAUAACCACCUGAAAAGCAUAUGCAAAGCACUGAAUAUCACUGGCCAUUUUUUUCCUUGAUGUUUGUAGAAUGACAUACACCUCGGAUCAUUUAAUGUGGUAAAAUAGGCAAGAAGCAGGAGUGAUUCUGAAUUUCAUGUACUGUGAAAGUAUAAGUAUCAUCUGUGUUGAAAUGGAAGAAAAACCCCUUGCAUUUGAAAUAACUCAAAACCCGAUGUUCUUCAGCUGACCUAAGUAAGUAAUAAAUAUGGUGAAUUUAAAAAUGCCGAUGGGGCUGGGGGUAUCAGAGCAGGUGCUUAGCAUGUGUGACGCUCUGGCUGGGUUCAAUUCCCAGCAGGCCUUCCACCCCAAAACAACUACAACAAAGCAAAAAAGGCUGAAUAAGGAUAAUGGGUGUUAAAAUGAUCACACAGGGAUGUAAAAACCCAUGUAAUGUGUCGAGAUUUUCCUUUGGGGGGCUGGUGGUGCAGUAAACAACCUCUCCCUGAUGCCCUCCUUGCUGCCUUCUUCUCUGAUGGCUCCCUUCUUCCCUCACUCCCUUCCUUCCUUUCAUUUGUUCAUAUCGGUAUGGACUAAAACAUUCUAACUUUAUUCAAAUUACCUCAAUGCUCCGUUUGUCCCAGUUUUGGGUUAAGGGAAGUCACUUCAAGCCAAAUCCUAAACAGGGAUCUAUGAGGCGUAUGGGAGCCCCACCUUCCUCUCCAGCUUCUGGCCCUGCCUUCUAUCCACAGUGACCUUUUGCCAUUUCCUACUUCCUGCCACCUUGGGGUCUCAUUGACUCUGCCUAUGCCUGCCUGGAAUGUUUUUUAUCUCCUUUUUCUUGGUUAAUACUUAUUUAACUGUCUGAACUGAGCUUAAAAGAGUCCUUUUAUCAGAGAAGUCUUCUCUAAUCCCCAGCCUAGGUCAAGGACUGUGAACUUUUACAUCUAUCAUACUGUGCUAAAAAUACUGCAGGAACAAAAAUCAAUUCACGAAAUAGCUUUUUUUUUCUAACCACAAAACCCACUAAAGAAACCUCUUGCUAGAAGCCAACUUCAUAUGUAGUGAGGAUUGAAUCGAUGGAAGAAGAAAAAAAGAGAAGAAGAAAUCAAAGAAGUAGGAGCUUCUCAGGCCAAGGGCCAAGGAUAACUUGGGGACAUAAAUUUUUAUCAGUGAGCAGCUGCUGAGAGAAAUAGUGAGAAUGUAAGCUACAGGAAAAGAUGUUAUAUAUAUAUAUAUAUGUUUUAAAUAUAUAUAAACUAUAUAUAUAUAUAGUUGUUCAAUAGGAACGGACUCCUUUGGGGUAUUUUUAUAAUUAAGAUUUGGGUUUUGCUUUUAUUUAAUAUUUUUGAGCUGGACUAACCAAGAGAAUGGAUGGUUAAUAUGGUUUCUCCAUGUGAAUAUUAACUUAAUGAAUCUGUUCUCUCCUCCCCUCCACUUACAUAUAAAUUUCUGAGAUCGAUAUUCUUCUUGUCUUAUUUACUCAUCUUUAUAAUCCUGGUGUUUGCACAAUCAGUAGCAGGUGCUAUAUCAAUAUUGAUUAAAUUAAUGUGUGUUUAAGGCAAUUUGUUUAACCUCUCCAGACCUCAAUUAAGUUGCUCUUCAGACUUCUUAACUCUUUCAAUAGAAAGAGCAUCAACUGCAGAGAAGAAAAAUUCGAUCUCUCCACUGCCAGAAAUCUAGAGUUGUUUGAAACAGCCAAUUAUUGUUCUGCUAUUUCUCUGAAGUUUCAUAUUCCAUCUUAAACACUUGUUACAUUAUUCAUAUUAAAACUUUAAAUUUUAUAUUCCACACUAUUGUAUAUCAGUAUUUAUUUAACACUAAAGUGACUUUUAUCUCAAAUCUUCUAAUUAAAAUAAAUAACUUUGUACCUAUUACCCCUAGGGCUAUGCAAAUUUCAAACCUAUUUAAGAAACACAAGUAUUAAUUAAAUGACCUAUGAGGUUCCCUUUUAGCUCCAUGUUUUCUGAUUGUUUGAUUUUUAAAGAAGCCAAAUAGCUAAUAUUUACUGAAUUUCUUUCAUGUUUAAGUCACAGAGGAGAAUACAAGGAACAAUGAGAUACACUGUUUGCCUUUACAGAAACUGAAUUGGGUAAGUCAUGUUAGGAGGCAGUAUAGAGUAAGUGCCAAGUAAAUAGAGUAACUUGUACAAUUCAGAAUGUUGGAGUCCUCUAGGCCUCAGUUUCCUCGUCUAUAUCAUGGGAUAAAAAUGCUCAGACUUUUUAUCUCACAGGGUAGCUCUGAAACUCAAUAAAGCAUGCCCACAUACAAAUGAAAAAGUGAUCAGGGAGUUUUAAUCAUAUGGUCAAACUUUGAAAUUUGAGUAUUAAACAAGUUCAUAGGAAAAUGACUUCAUGAAGUCACAAAAGGAGAUAUAUAUACCACAAAGGUACAGGAAACUAAAAAUAAUCUUUAUUAACCAAAAACCAAAACAACAAAACAAAACAAACUCAGGGGAACUAUUUCUAGAAAAGCAGAAUAUUAUGGGCUUUGAGUUACAAGAAAAAUCUAGAAUCACUGUCAUGGGUUUUAUUUUAAAAAGAUAAAUCCCUUGAUAUAAUUUGGUUCAUAUUUUGAAACAGCUGGGAACAUUUUGGUAUAGACCAAAGGGCUAUUUUAAAUGCUUCAACCCCUUUAAAGAUUAUUAAAAGGAGACUUGAAGAAACCAGAUAAUUAUUUGCAGAGAUUAAGUGUCAAAAUGGUAAUCUUACUAAAAGAAUAAAGAAGGAAAAUAUGAUUGUAUGUUUAGUGGAAAAUGAAUUGGCAUUAUGCCAGAAGUGGAAGACAAGAAAAGAAGUAAAUUUAGGAAGUAGUUUCAAUAUAAUUCUUGAUGGAAGGUUAAAAACAAGUAGCCUUCUACAUAAUUUGGAAUAAAUUUCAACAUUAUUGAAUGACUAAAACAUGGCUCAAAUCUUAAUCUGAGAGUUAAAUCAGUUAUAUACAAUGAAACUGUGAAAUCUGUGGGAGGCUUUCUAAGCAUAGUAUAGAGGAAAUGGUACCUGGUGAUAAUGAGAAUUAUAAGUAUUUAAUCAUUUAAAUGAGAUUUGAAAAUCAACAAAAGAGAAAAUACAUCAUUAGUUAGUGGCAUCUGUUUAAUCGAAGCGUAUAAAUGAAAAACAAAUCUUUAUUUCAAGAAGUUUCUAACAAGCAUUCCUGUUAUGAUUUGGAUCUUUAAUGUCCCUUGAAAAUCUCAUGUGUUAGGCAAUACAGUGUGGGAAGCCGUUCUCGCACGUGAUUGGGCUACCUCCCUGACUAGGUGUGAGGCGCUCAGACCAGCUGUGUCAGAGUUUUUUCCCCACCCUUUCCAGGUGCGAGGGCUUGUCCGUGUGGGGAUGUGACUGACCAUUGACCUGGAAACCAAUCACUGACCCUGACCUUGGAAUGCUGUCCACCUCGACCUUCAUUGGAUGGAAUUUUCCCCUGGAUUUUUUGUUUCCCAAUAAAAGCCCACUCUCUGGCGUGCUCUUCCUCUCUCCUGCUGGUCUCUUGUGUAAACCUCCCUGGAGAAGCCGUCUCUUAGCUGGGCAAGAAAAAAGGUAAAUUGAGUUUUAUGUGUCUUUAAUUUGAUCUCACUAGUUAACUUCUAUGUUUGGAACCUCUAGUAUGAAGCUAGCGUGCUGGUCACGCGGCAGAACACAGGAAUGUUCAGACAUGAUAGAUUAUGAGAGCUGUAACCUCACCAUUAAAUUAAUCCAUUUUAUGGAUUAAGAAUUUGAAUGGAGGGCUGGGGUUGUGGCUCAGUAGUAGAGCGCUCACCUAGCACAUGUGAGGCCCUGGGUUCGAUCCUCAGAACCAUAAAAAUAAAUAACAUAAAGGUAUUGUGUCCAAUUACAACUAAAAAAUAAUUUAAAAAAAAGAAUUUGAAUGGAUUAUUGGGUGGUGUCUAUGCAAAGGUGGAGGAAUGCUGGAGAAAGGAGGUCACUGGGGGUGUGGCUUUCUUCCAUUACGUUGUUCUGCCUCACCUCUGGCCAAGAGCCUUGGAGCUGACCAACCAUGAACUAAAUCUCUGAACCUAUCAGCCCCAAAUAAACCUUUCCUCCUCUAACUUGUUCUUGUCAGGUGUUUUGAUCACAGUGAUGCAAAGCUAAUCAACACUAUAUCACUUUUGCAAAACAUGGAAAAUACUGCACAAUUGAAUGUUGAAACCAUAUACAUUUGAGUAUAACUAAAGAUGGCUGCAUUUGAACAGUACAUAGUGUGUAAUACAAUAUGUGUAUAAAGCAAGGUAAAGAAAGAGUACUCCUAUUUGCUAGUACUUGCAUAAAAUAACUGAAACAGGAAAUCUUAAUUUGCUUCUAGGA
rnacentral:lncRNA from 1 species